rnacentral:rRNA from 1 species
GACGAACGCUGGCGGCGUGCCUAAUACAUGCAAGUCGAACGAGAGCGACCGGUUCUUGCGCUGUUCACUCUAGUGGCGCACGGGUGAGUAACACGUGGGUAACCUGCUCAUCAGUGGGGGAUAACCUUCGGAAACGGAUGCUAACACCGCAUAGGCCUUCGAACCGCGUGGUUGGUUGAGGAAAUGCGGCGCAAGCUUCUGCUGACGCAGGUACCCGCGGUGCAUUAGCUGGUUGGUGAGAUAACGGCUUACCAAGGCAGUGAUGCAUAGACGACCUGAGGGGGUGAUAGGCCACAUUGGGACUGGAACACGGCCCAAAGGCCUGCGAGAGGGAGCAGUAGGGAAUCUUCCGCAGUAGUCGGAAGUCUGACGGAGCAACGCCGCGUGAGUGAAGAAGGUGUUCGGAUCGUAAAACUCUGUUGUUAGAGAAGAACAAGUGCUAGAGUAACUGUUAGCGGCGUGACGGUAACUAACCAGAAAGCCACGGCUAACUACGUG